UACGGGGGGGAGCAAGCGUUGUUCGGAUUUACUGGGCGUAAAGGGCGCGUAGGCGGCAUGACAAGUCACUUGUGAAAUCUCUGGGCUUAACCCAGAACGGCCAAGUGAUACUGUCGGACUAGAGUACAGAAGGGGCAACUGGAAUUCUCGGUGUAGCGGUGAAAUGCGUAGAUAUCGAGAGGAACACCUGCGGCGAAGGCGGGUUGCUGGGCUGAUACUGACGCUGAGGCGCGAAAGCCAGGGGAGCGAACGGG
rnacentral:rRNA from 1 species